AAUUUCAACUGAAAAUGUCAUCAACAACAAAGUUGUAUAACUUAUCAAGAUCUAUAACUUUUAUUUUAGUCAUUUCUUCAUCCGACAAAGCGAUAGUAACAUUAUUUACAAAAUUAACAUAUCUCGUAUAUGGUUUCAUAAGCUAUAAGAGAGAUAUGUAAAUUUUAUGAACAAUGUUACUAUCAUUUUGUCGGAUGAAGAAAUGACCAAAAUAAAAGUUGUAGCUCUUGAUGAGUUCUACAACUUUUAUGUUCAUGAUUUUUUUCAGCUGAAAUU
rnacentral:pre_miRNA from 1 species